ensembl:lncRNA
GAAACAAGUUAGAGUCCUACAGCCAUACCAGGGACAGAGCAGUCCGUCAGGGCUCACGCACAUCACCUUCCAGCACUCCUGCUACAGCGGGCUCUUCUCUUGCAGGGGUAAUUUUGACCACAGGAACUGAUUCCUUCCUGAAGCAUCCUAGGCCUUUCUGUGAUUUAAGAGGGCUGAAACAACUCCGUGGCACGUGGUGACUUUCUGCUGCAUUGUACCCAGAUUUUGCUUGGAAAUGGACCACAUCUCCAGAGGUGACAACAGAUUUCUUUUCUUCGUGUCCCCUUCUCAGCUGGAGAUGGACACGUGCAUGGUUUAGUUUGGCAUCCUUUGUUUCAGCUCUGAAUUUUAAAGUAGAGUUGAGAUCAGAUGUUAAAGUGAUAAGCCAGGCAAUGGAGUCCCUAGAAGACUCACAGCUUGUGCAAAUGGGCAUUUUUGCCACAUCAAGUCAGUAGCAAAUGUGUACAGGGAAAUGUGAGGGAAAUAUAAAAGGAAUGAGGAUGUCUUUGGCUGAGGAUUGGUAUUCUCCAUCAUGCAAAGACAGGUGACUGCACAGAAUCAAAGAAUCAUAGAAUGACAUAAUGUCUUAGGUUGGCAGGGACCUUGAAGUUCAUCCUCUCCUAGCCGUUUGCUGUGGGCUGGGUUGCUCCACACCAGAUCAGGCUGCACAUGGCCCCAUCCAACCUGGCCUCCAGCACUUCCAGGGAUGGGGCAUCUACAACUCACCAGGCAGCCUGUACCAGUGCCUCACCAACCUCUGAGAAAAGAAUUUCUUCCUAACAUCUAACCUAAACUUCCCCCCUUCUUCACAAGGAAUGACAUCUCUUCCAUCUAUUUCUAUCCUUUUUCUGAAUGUUCACUUGGGCCUGGUUUUCUGGAUAAGAGUGACAACACUUCAGGGUUGGUUUUUCUUUUUCUUUCUUUUUCUUUUUCUUUUUCUUUUUCUUUUUCUCUUUCUUUCUUUCUUUCUUUCUUUCUUUCUUUCUUUCUUUCUUUCUUUCUUUCUUUCUUUCUUUCUUUCUUUCUUUCUUUCUUUCUCUCUUUCUUUCUUUCUCUCUUUCUUUCUUUUUGACUUAACUGGAAUCAUUUCUCCAUUCAUGGAAGACUGGGACAGUUUUGAUAGGCUCGCAGAUGCCAUAAACCAAAAGAAACAACACAUUCAGCCAGCCAGGAUCGCUUCACUGGAUCCAUAUUUCACCAAAACAUGCAAAUCUGAUCAAAAUGAAACACUUCAGAAAACAUACUGAUUUUGUCAGCACUUCGGUUUGAGAAAACAGAAGGGAGGAACACUUCAACUCCUGUUGAAAUGUGCUGUUUUAAGGUAUGGUCAUUUUGGUUUUGUUUACAUUUCAGAGAAGCUUUUCUUUGGCAUUUUAACAUUGAGUUGCCUUUUUUUCCCCUAAAAUUGAAUUGUUUCUCUAAAAAAAAGAACAACAAAAUCAGGUGACAGCUGGUCUUUUAUGCUAAAUUCUGAAGCUUGCGGGCUUAAGCUUAUAAGAAAAAAAAUAUGUCUAGAUCAGUAGCAAUCAGAAUGUGUUUCAGCAGAGAUCUACACAGUAUCAAAAGCUUAGGCAAUUCCUCUUGUCUCCCAUCAUCUGGGAGAAAGUAGGCCUGCAAAGGAUUCAAAUAACAAAUUAGUAUGGAAUCAUUACGAGUAAUUUGACUUAUGAAAUUAGAUAUUUCUGAACAAACAAUAGAUGCAGCUCGAACCCCCUUCUUUCCCACAACUGUCAAACAUGGUUGUAUUUGUGAGGCCUGGGAUAAAAUUCAGUUCAAUUUCUUGACAAAAUCUUUGCAGAAUCAAAGGAGGCAAAUGUAGCAUGGAUCCUGAAAGCUGAUGAUGAGCACACAGAAUCCAAACCUGACUGUAAGUCAUUGGCACAGUAGGUAAGGCUGCUUAAAACUGAACAGACAGAGUAUCCCAAAUAUUUCCAACUCAUUUUUUGUUAUAAUUCAACAUACUUACAGACCAUUUGUGCUUGUCAAAUAGAUGCACUGAAAUACUUUUUUUAUACUGGAUCUUAUGUCAGAUUUUUAAUUCUCACUGAGUUCCUGUACAUCACAAUUUGAAAAAUUGAAAUCUCUUCUUCAGUUUAAAUAUUUUUAUCUAAAAAUAACCAGUCCUGCACAAAACGUGGCUUUUACAAAAAUCUGUUCACAUUAACAACAUCUAAUGACUUCUAAGUAAUCAUUUCUAAGUGAUGAGUUCUAUGUACUGCUUCUGAUAAUUGUUUCAGACUGCAUAUGGGGAAAAUAGGCACAGUCAUAUCAACAACAAUAGAAUGGACAUGUCUAAUUCCUCUUAUGCCAUCACAGUAAAAUCAGUCCUGAAUAAUAACAUUACAGCAAGGCAACUGUACAAUCCUUUACAGCAUGGCAUGGAAGUAAAACACAGAAAAAGUUGAUUGAUUCUGAGAAACGUCUGGUCUCCUUACGAGACACACACAAAAAAGUUACUGUUAGAGAAGUCCAAAAGAAGCAGCUAGUUGUGUGUCAGCCCGCUAACUUUGUGUUAAUGAGCAAUUAAAGUGUGUUCACAUGGAUACAAGGUGAUUAGGAGUGAAAACUUGUCAUGCUCCAGAAGGAAUUUUGUUUUGGUUCCUAAAAGGAACUUGUUGUUUGCUUACGAACACACAGAGGAUCAGAGCAAAAAAUCAGAUUCACAGUGUAUUUUAAUUAAUGAAUCAAGUUUUUGUUUAACCAAAUGAAAGACAAGCUGUAAUUUAAUUAAUUGUCUGAGAGUUGGACAGCCCAAUCUCAUCAAGACUAAUUGCUUUCCAGUUAACGCUGGAAAUGCCCACCACUUUGCAGGGCUGAGCUCAGUUGUUAAUACAACUGUUGCAAGGAGCUGCCACUUAGGGAGGACAAAAUGGGGACAGGAGGCCAACUGUUCAUGAAAUGAGCGUGACAAUCCUCUCGAUGUUUCUCCACUCAGCACAAAAAGAACAAGACGGGUUUUAUUACAAAUGGAAAUAACAGGAUAACUCCAAACAAACAAGGAAGCUCGGCGGGAAGAGAUGAGAUUUGGAGAUGGGGAAUGGAUACUUUCAGGAGUUCAUACAUCCACGUGGGAGCAGCGCGCAGGGCAACAGAGGGUGCCAUUGUGCCAUUGUGCUCCUCCUGCAGGGUGGGUGAGGGUGGUUUUCCCUGUGAGCUCCGAGAUCUGGCAGAUAAAACACAAUCGGAUUGAUUUAUUUAUAAAUCUCCAAGAAGCUUUGUUUGCACAGCAGGCUUGGCAGUACAAGCAGAAGUGCACUGUGCAUGUUUUCAUGUAUAUACGUAGAAAUUAAUUAACACACAUAUUUCUGGGGAAGCGCCUACAUGCAAUAAAGCACACCUCCUAGGAGGACUGUGACAAGUGACCAAAGCACAUUUUCCUUCCUCGCUUCAUUUGCAUUUCAUCCACUAAUUUCUUGAUCUGUCAGUCUGCAUGCUCCCAGCUAAGCCUUGUCUCUUCCCCACUCCCCAGUGCUUUGGCAUUAGGAUAUUUCCCCACAAAUCUACUCUGGCUUGUGGUCCAGCAGAUCAAAGUGCUCAGUUAUUGGCAGCAUUUGUUUAUAGUAAAAAAUGCCAUAGCUUCAUACCCAGAUUUAGCACUCGCCUCAGUGCUGUAGAAAAGGGACAUUUUUAGAUACGAGAUGCUCAUUCCUAGCUCUCAAGUUAACAGAAUUUAAAUUUGUAAGGUUCUUAUGAACAGAGAAGGCUAUUUUUGGUCAGGAUGAAGGCCUGCGAUGGACCACAGCUAAUAAAGCCCAUUAAUUUAUUACAAGGAAUGUAAAAAAGUAGUCCUAAUUAAAUAUUUUUGAGGUCUCCUAAGCUUUCCUAAAAUAGCUGUUGUGUAAGGGAAGGGGCAUAAGCUGAAUGCAUGACGAGGAGACACAGUUUUCAUGGCACUCCUUUAGCUGCCUGCAUUAUUCAUACCACUUGCUAUGUGCCAAGCCCAAGGUCUGGAUGAUAAAACCUCUUCCCCCCACUGCCAUCUAUGCCUUACCCAGAUGUCAUAGACAAGCACUUGUAAACUCCAUGCAGCAUUCGCUUCACACAGCAGAAGACACUUGGUGGGUAAAAUCACAGAUGCCCUUUAAAUCACCGUAAAGCAGACCAAGGUCUUAAAAGCUUAAGAGAAGAAGCUGAGCUGUACAAAUGUUGGUGUAAAAGCUCUGUUGUACAAACAAGAGCUGCGUUCCAAAGAUGCUGCCACCUUGGAUUUCACUAAAAACAACACCUCCCCCCUUGCUGAAUUAUUAGGUCUGUGAAUCCUCAAGACAAACGACCUUUAUUUUGAGUCUUGUACUUCACAAGCCACAUGUGGUGAAACACUUACCCUGCCAGGCUAAGGGAAAGCUUUCUGCAGAUUCAUGAGUUCUGCAGGCUCAGCAUCCUUACUUCCACCAGAGCACAGACAAUGUGUUGUGCAAUGCAGAUCUAUAUAUUUGAAUAUCCAUUUCUUGCUGGGGCAUUGACACAGGCUCCCCAGGGAGGUGGUGGAGUCACCAUCCCUGGAGGUGUACAAGACUGCAGAGAUGUGGCACUGAGAGAUGUGGGCAUGUGGGCAUUCGUGGGCAUGGAGGGGUUGGUUGAUGGUUGGACUAGAUGAUCUUAGAGGUCUUUUCCAGCUCUAAUGAUUCUAUGAAUUUGUGAAUAAAAGUUUGGGUUUCUGCCUGUGAUUGAAAGGCAGUGCAGCCCUACAUCCAAUUACCUGUCUGUGGAAUAGGAACACCAGCAGCACUCUAAGUGGAAGAGGAUGUCAUACUGGGCACUCUGAGGCUGCAACAAAAAGACCAGUACACAGUAGAGGAGGGCAUCUACACACACUGCCUGCUUUCUUAGCAACCUGCAGUAUGUUAGGCUAAUAACCAAACUGUACAAAUGACCAUUGCCACAGCAUCUUUGGGCUAGCAAUAUAACAUCCAGUGUAAAGGAAUAACCAUGCUUUUCCUCUUAUCUUGUACAAAACUUGCCCUGUUGUAGGGAAACUGUGACUCUACCUCCUGAAAUUCAUAGGAGCUGUCACGAGCAGCCAGUUUUUUCCUUUGGAACAAGGUAAACUCCCCUGUUCAGAACUUCAAAAGUUUGUGUCUAAUGUUGCCAACCUCUCUCUUCCUGUCCCUUCCUUACCUGCCUUUGAUGGUAAGCCAGGUAUUGUUUGGAAGAUUUAUAUACCAAUUUCUUUUCUCUUUACCAUUGAAAUGCCAUCAGCUAUAAUGGAAGAGCUCUUUUUUUGCCUAAACACACUGUUUGUGUGAAGGCUGAUGAUUUCAGUCAUUUCCCCUUCCAUAAAUUCUGCAGAAUUUAUGCUCAUAGAUGCUCCCUGCAAAUAUGGUGGUGACAACAAGUCACCAUGGUGCCUCUGAGCUAGCAGCAGGGACAAUCAUGCAAGAAUGAAAGGUGGCAUCUUCUGGGAUAUGUAUGAGAUAUGGAGGCUGGUGGCCCUGCCUAUGGCAGGGGAGUUGGAGAUUGAUGAUCCUUAAGGUCCCUUCCAACCCAAGCCAUUUUAUGAUUCUAUGAAUCUAGGUGCACCUAAAUGAGAACUGAGCACCUACCUGCUUUCCACCUGCAGCUAGGAAUUGGUUAAGAUAUGAAUUUCCAAAAUUUAUUCAUUCCAAGUGUUUACACAUUGUGGUCUUACAAUUUGCUAUCUUUGUUUUUAUGACUGGGUCAAACCUUUGAAUUCCUAUCCUAUGCAAAACUCUGAUGUUUCAGCCUGUUUCUAUUCUCAGGCAGAACUGAAAGGAAAUGAACAGAAAUUCCAGUAAAAAAAAGCUAGUGCCCAUCACUCGAGCCAUCUCCUUUAGAAUACAACUGAAUGGGUUUUAUCAAACUGUCCUUUUCCCUCUUCCUAUCAAAAUGUAGCAAAUACGUUUUUUUUUAAGUUUCCUAUAAUUUUCUUUAAAAAACUAAUCAAAAUUGUUGUAUUCCCAUGGAAGAUUUCUUUUUUGGGCAAAACUGUUAUUCUGACAAAAAACAAAACAAAAUAACAAAAAACCAAUAACCAACAAGCAUUAAUCAAAAGUUAGAUUAUAACUGUAGUGCUUUCCUGCCUGAUUUCUGCCACAUUCGUGAACUCAGAGACAUGGAGACCCACGCUCCACUCUUCUAAAAGUCUUUUUGACAUCGCAACCAUUUUGCCACAAAAAUCUCUUGCAGUAAUAACAUGAGGCCAUUCACUGAUUUGAGACCUCAGCACAUCCUGACCUGGUAACAAAGGACUCCUUAGAGAGACUUUCCUGAUAGAGGGUUUAUGGGCUGGGAAACAGUUGGCUGUGGCCAAGAUGAUUGUACAUUUUCACCUACAGAAUUGCGCCUUCACUUGAAACUCUAACACUUAACACUAUGAUUAGUCUGCUAUGCCACGUCCAUCCUAUGAUAUAGAAUACCACAAGACCCUGAACAAAAUGGUGUAUUGCUUAUUUGUGAGAAAUGCUAUAUAAUCAGAGAGACUUUCCAGGAAGGGCUGCUAUCAUUCUGUGCAAAAGCCCUCCCAGAAGUGCUCUUGCCCUUCUAAGAAUAUUUGGAAGAGAAGAAUGGUCAGGAAAAAUAGAAACUAUGGCAUGGGGCAAUUUCACAGCACUACCACCCUUAGAAUCUACUCAUACUAACACUAAAACAGAAUUAUAUUAAAUGACAUGACAAACAUGCUAAAAGAGUAGAACUGCAAACAGUCAUCACUUAUCUUUUUAGUGGCACGCUACAGUUCUGCACACACAUCUGAAAUACACCCAGAAGGAUGUUGUUUUUGUUAGAGAGCACACAUAACAUAGUUAAGAGUUAACCUCACGAUUCAAAAACUGCAUCUUCAUUCAACUUCCUGGCCUACACCAAUGCUACAUCACCUUCUGAGCUAUGUGGGAUGGAUUGUUGGCCACUGCAGUACCAGGCUGCAAGGUACAAACCAGUGCCUGAACAUUGUUGCCUGGGGCAGGGGUUUAUUACUUGCUCUGUGGCACCUGUCAGCAUCUUACCACGAGCUUCCAUUCUAAAUUUAUGAAUAGGUACUUGGGCACAGCACACAGGCAUUAUACAUGAUCUUCAGCAUAAAAAAGGAUCAUGCCCUUAUCAGUUUUCUAUAGUAAUUUGCUAAAUGUCAUUGCCCUUACCCAGGUCUCAUUCUGCAGAGCCCUGGCAUGCUGGGGUCCUGCUAAAGGCAGUCUGUCCUUCCCCUUGCACUCGUAUGAGUGUUUGCUCUGUCAUGAGAUCUUCUGAAUGCUGGAUGUUUGAUAGGCCAAUAAGCUGCCUGAGUAAAUAUUUUUACUUGCUCUCAUUGAAUACUAAAGCCAACGUUUCAACUGAAAAUAGCUUGGGGUAAAUAUCGUUGGUUUUAAAUGAUUUUUAGAGUAAAUUCUCUUUGUGGACUCAUGGAUUAGUGCUCCUAUGCUUUUAAAAGUGCAUCACACAAUAUUGCAGAGAAAUAACAUUUCAACCACUUGAACUAUUACACUUUAGACUCACCUAUUUUUGGAAGGCUGUUCUAAAUUUUUCAUGGAAAAGUAAGGGAAAAUAUGAUAGUCCAAAAACAGUGAUACAGGUAUACUGCUGACAGAAAUUUGAUUAUAUGUCUUAAGUGUCUGGUUGUAGUUACUGUCUACUUUGCUGCAACCUAAAGAGAUUUUAUAUGAAAAAGAAUAUUAAUAAAUUCUGGACUAGUUCUUAUUCAAGAACAUUUGAAAAAUAAAGCAGAGUUUUGUAAAUUACAAAGGUAAAAUCCUAGUUUGGAUGACGAGCUACUUUUGACAUUACUUGAUAUAAGAACUUUACAUGGAUCUUUUUGAAAUAUGGCUCUUAUUACCAUUCAUAUAGACGACAUUUCCUUUUCUUGAUUCAAUCGUGAAAAAAUCCAACUUACAGAUAUCCCAUAUAUUAGUACAACUUCUUUCACACAUUACUACAGCAUAAUGUAUUUGGCUGCACUUGCUUCGAACAGGUCCAUUCUACCCAUAUGGUCUGGCUUUAUUAUUUCUUGCUCCCAUCUGUUUUAAGUUAUCAUUCUUGGGCUACAGUUUUCAAGAGAUGCUCCCUAGCUACAUGCACAAAGGCUGUUUCUGAAAGAAAAUGUGAACAACAGGUGACUUCUACACUCUGAUUCACAUCUGUGCAAGGUUCAUUGAGGUCAGUGCAGCCUAUUGAUGUAGAUUUUGGCUUGACAGUCUGUAAAACCCCAUUUUGCCUGCAUGGUCUAUGUGUUACAAAACCCUAGAGGCCUAGUUUGGAAAUCCUUGAUUCCCAUGAAUACUCCUGCUGGCCAGUAGUGUCUUGACAGAAGUUGUCUUUUAUUUUUAUGUUCCCAUUCAAUUCUUUUCCCACCAGUUUUGUGAGUAACAACUACAUCCUCCAUGCUGGAGAAGUAAAACAACAGCCCUUGCCCAAGGCUUUGCCAUUUUUAGCAAAUAGGUUUAAAGUCAAAAUCUAGAAGAGAUUUUGCCUGACUUCACCAACAUUUUCUUGAGUCAGGAUGGGCUGGGAACCCUGGAGAGUAAAACCAGCCCGCAAGACCAUCUCCUACCACCCAGCCCUGCUCCACGCUCACUGGGUGGUCAGACCUUCAAAGCCACUUCCUUGUUAGGAAGUCCAUAAUCUUCUCCUUUCUUGUUCUCUCCUGAAACUUGAUGUUCCCAACAUAGUGAAGCCAUUUGACAUUACUGAUCUCUCCUAAACACCUGCUAUCAAAUGCAUCAAAUCUUUUCUUGUCAGCUUGCGUAAUGCCCCAGGUCUUCGCAGCAUCGAGCAAAACUGAUACCACACAGCUGUUGUAGAGUCUUAUUUUUUGUUUUGCGGACAUGUCACUACCCCAUACUUUUGCCCUUGAAUUUAUUUACAUUGAUCUUCACCUUCUACUGGUCAAGCUUAAAAUGACAUCAGACAAAAUCCAGUCAGAGUGGUCCAGAUCACUGGGAAAGGAAAUAAAACAAAAACAUGAUGCCAUGAUUGCAACUGAUGUCAAAGAGGAAGGGCAAAGCCGUUAUUUCUUUUCCUCAAUAAACCCAAAGCCAUUAUUUAAUCAAAAGCUUCGGUGUUUGUUUCGAGUGAAAACGUCAAAAUUUAGGGUAUUUUCUUUUCUUUUCUUUUUUUUUUUUUUAAGGUGAUCACUGGUGUUGUAGCUCACCAAAGAGGAGCCAAAGGAUCUGGCAGUUCUUGUUAAUAGUUUGACAGAUAAUAUUUAUGAAACCCCGUUAAAAAAGAACGGAAGGCAGUGAAUCCUAGAUAAUUUAUUCAGUAUGAAGGAUGGGUUUUCUUUUUCAGAAGGGAAAAACUGUGUUAUUACUGAGUUUGCUGGUUAAAUUCUGCAUCAAAAUGUGUAAAGAAACAAUGUAGAGAAAAAUAAAUGAAAGUGAAAGCUCUGUUUGUAAUUGUUUUCAUUUGUCCAGAGGUCAGUAGUAGCUUUACUAACGACCCUUACAAUAUCAUUUUGCUCUUUUUAAAAGUCACAAAGACAAUGUAAAAGAGAACAGAAUAUGGAAAAAAAAUCAAAGUAAAAUUAAAAGAAAAAUAUCUUCUGAAAAAAGACUGUAGCUGUGUAGAAUAUAUUUUGUUUAUAGAGAGGUCCCAAGAAGCAUUUAUACAACCUAUAACCGGACUAUGCCAGCCCAGGCAGAGCACUGCAUAUUUGGUAAGGAUAAAAUUAUGUUGCAAAAUAAAGAAAACUUCCUGCCUAAAAUUCCAAAUUCCUAAGAAAAUAAAUGCAAUAUGAUCUAGACAUAAAAACAUAUAUUAAGCAUAAACCAUAAGCAUAAACCAAUAAAUAAAUCUAGCCCACUCUUCAGUAUGGAAAAGAACAUUAAUA